UAUUCGAGUCUGCCUUCGACAAGGAGGGUUAAGUCGUAACAAGGUAUCUGUAGGGGAACCUGCAGAUGGAUCACCUCCU
rnacentral:rRNA from 1 species